rnacentral:rRNA from 1 species
CCAGACUCCUACGGGAGGCAGCAGUGAGGAAUAUUUCACAAUGAGCGAAAGCUUGAUGGAGCAAUGCCGCGUGCAGGAUGAAGGCCCUCGGGUUGUAAACUGCUUUUAUAAGAGAAGAUUAUGACGGUAACUUAUGAAUAAGGGACGGCUAACUACGUGCCAGCAGCCGCGGUCAUACGUAGGUCCCGAGCGUUAUCCGGAGUGACUGGGCGUAAAGAGUUGCGUAGGCGGUCAAGUUAGCGAGCGAUGAAAACUAUCGGCUCAACCGAUAGCUUGUUGUUCGAACUGCUUGACUCGAGAGUAUCAGAGGUCGCUGGAAUUCCUAGUGUAGCAGUGAAAUGCGUAGAUAUUAGGAAGAACACCGAUGGCGUAGGCAGGCGACUGGGAUAUUUCUGACGCUAAGGCACGAAAGCGUGGGUAGCGAACCGGAUUAGAUACCCGGGUAGUCCACGCCGUAAACGAUGGAUGCUAAUUGUUUGAGGUAUCGACCCCUCGAGUAAUAAAGCUAACGCGUUAAGCAUCCCGCCUGUGGAGUACGGCCGCAAGGCUAAAACAUAAAGGAAUUGACGGGGGCCCGCACAAG